rnacentral:lncRNA from 1 species
GUCAGCGGCGGUUGAAUUGCCAUGGCAAUGCGGUGGGCGCGCGCUUGUCGUGUUGGUCUCUUGGGAGGUAGCGGGGCUAGGCCGGGCGGGUAUCCGCCUCUCCCAGCUUAGGUGAGCGUCCCCGGGCGCCUCCGGAGCGCCGCGGCCGCAUGCAGUUCGUCGUGGCGGGGAGCCGGAGCCUGACCGGGGUUCCAGCGCUCGGGCCGUAGCCUUGGCUCCUGGACUUUCCCUGGCUCCGCCGCCACGUGGGAGCUGAGGCUCUGGGGCUUCCGCCUCCGGCGCGCGAUUAUUUCUCUAGAACAGUUUUCAUUUUUAAAAUUUGUAAAGCGCUUUUGCCUGUGUGAUUUCCUCUGGGUUUUUUUUUUUUUUCUUCCUUUUUGUAGAGACGGAAUUGGCGGCGGGGGCGGGGGGUCGAUGUCUCACUUUUUUGCCCAGGCUGGUCUCGAACUCCUGGCUUCAAGGGAUCCUCCUGCCUCGGCCUCUUAAAGUGCUGGGAUUACAGGCGUGAGCCACCGCCCCCGGCCGCCUCUGAGUUUCCAGCCUCGUUGGCCCUCCAGCCUUUUAACCUGUUGGGCCUAGGAUCAGGAAAGGUUUGUUGAAUGGGGAACUAAGAAGUGAAUUCGUUCGUUCGACAAACGUUUCCUGAGCAGCCGCUGGGUGCUAGGCGCAGUGCCAGCGCGGAAUGUCCAGGGAGACCUGGUGCCCAAAGCUUGGACCCAUCGUGAGAAAUGAGAAGCAGAUACAAAGCAGUGUGGGAGUGCAGAGGAGACAAAGCAAGCCUCAUCAGGCCCAUUGCUUGCUCUGCUCUCCCUUGUACUUACCAGUGCUUGACAAUAUACAGUUAUUUACUAGCUUGGUUAUUGACUUCCUACCCAGCACUCAGUUUUAUUCACUGCUGUAUCCUCAGUGCCUAGGACGAUGCUUGGAACGUGGUAAGUGCUCCUAUUGGCGGGAAGAAUAAAUCCGGAAGAGCAGGACCAGUGGACUUGCUACAUAAUCUGUAGUCUUGGAGCCGCACAGGGUUGGUGGUACCCUCGAGCACACCAGACUUGCAGAAAAAGCAUACUCCAGAGGAAGCUGAGGCAUGCCUGCUCGAGAGCCAGCUGUUCCAUGUGCAAUUUUCCUCUGAUAGUUUCUGGUCACUGUUGCCACGGUGAUAAUGACUGGGCUAUGUCAUUAUCUAUCCGCCAACAGUAAGAGAAGCUUUGCAGUCGAGAUAUUGUUUAGCAGAUGGAGUGUUUUCUGUUGAACACUAAGUACUGCCACAAGUUACUUUUUUUUUUUUAAACUUUGAGUAUUUUUUUACAAUGUUGCUGGAGGUGAUCUGUUUAUGCUUUGAGAGUGUUCGAAUUUAAAAUCAGAAAAUCAUGUCAGUGAGUGAGUCUUUCAAAUAAUCCUUCGGCAUGAAACCUGAGCCUAGUAAACUAUGAAAGUAAACUCGGCACAUUACCCGAAAGUCUCAAUGUCAUAUUUUCACCCCCAUCAAUAUUAUUGAUGAUUGCUCAUUUUCUAAUGUGGGACCUGAAAUUUACCAGGUGCUUAAAGAAUCUUUUUGUUUUUCAGAUUCAUUGAUUCCAGGUAAAUCAGAGGAACAAGCAACAUGAACAGAAAUAUGUAGAAAAAGCUAUUAUGCAGAAGCAUAAUUGUUGUUUCAGAAGUCCAGCAUCUGGUGCACUUAACAAUAGAGAAUAUAUUAAACUCUUUCCAAAAUAACCUGUUGUUCCUACCUGUGUUGUAAGUGUUUUGUUUGUUUUUAAGUAAAUAUUGGUGAUUUGUUGCCA